rnacentral:rRNA from 1 species
GAUGAACGCUGGCGGCGUGCCUAAUACAUGCAAGUCGAGCGAACGGACGAGAAGCUUGCUUCUCUGAUGUUAGCGGCGGACGGGUGAGUAACACGUGGAUAACCUACCUAUAAGACUGGGAUAACUUCGGGAAACCGGAGCUAAUACCGGAUAAUAUUUUGAACCGCAUGGUUCAAAGGUGAGAGACGGUCUUGCUGUCACUUAUAGAUGGAUCCGCGCUGCAUUAGCUAGUUGGUAAGGUAACGGCUUACCAAGGCAACGAUGCAUAGCCGAACUGAGAGGGUGAUCGGCCACACUGGAACUGAGACACGGUCCAGACUCCUACGGGAGGCAGCAGUAGGGAAUCUUCCGCAAUGGGCGAAAGCCUGACGGAGCAACGCCGCGUGAGUGAUGAAGGUCUUAGGAUCGUAAAACUCUGUUAUUAGGGAAGAACAUAUGUGUAAGUAACUGUGCACAUCUUGACGGUACCUAAUCAGAAAGCCACGGCUAACUACGUG